CUCUAUUCGCCCACAAAUUGGCCUCACACGCCACAUUCGAACGACAUUCGGCGUCGCACUGACGACCGGCGUCUUGCGGCCCGAUGUCAGCGAGGAAUGC
rnacentral:misc_RNA from 2 species